rnacentral:rRNA from 1 species
GCGGCAGGCUUAACACAUGCAAGUCGAGCGGAGAGAGGUAGCUUGCUACUGAUCUUAGCGGCGGACGGGUGAGUAAUGCUUAGGAAUCUGCCUAUUAGUGGGGGACAACAUUUCGAAAGGAAUGCUAAUACCGCAUACGUCCUACGGGAGAAAGCAGGGGAUCUUCGGACCUUGCGCUAAUAGAUGAGCCUAAGUCGGAUUAGCUAGUUGGUGGGGUAAAGGCCUACCAAGGCGACGAUCUGUAGCGGGUCUGAGAGGAUGAUCCGCCACACUGGGACUGAGACACGGCCCAGACUCCUACGGGAGGCAGCAGUGGGGAAUAUUGGACAAUGGGCGCAAGCCUGAUCCAGCCAUGCCGCGUGUGUGAAGAAGGCCUUAUGGUUGUAAAGCACUUUAAGCGAGGAGGAGGCUACUUUAGUUAAUACCUAGAGAUAGUGGACGUUACUCGCAGAAUAAGCACCGGCUAACUCUGUGCCAGCAGCCGCGGUAAUACAGAGGGUGCAAGCGUUAAUCGGAUUUACUGGGCGUAAAGCGCGCGUAGGCGGCUAAUUAAGUCAAAUGUGAAAUCCCCGAGCUUAACUUGGGAAUUGCGUUCGAUACUGGUUAGCUAGAGUGUGGGAGAGGAUGGUAGAAUUCCAGGUGUAGCGGUGAAAUGCGUAGAGAUCUGGAGGAAUACCGAUGGCGAAGGCAGCCAUCUGGCCUAACACUGACGCUGAGGUGCGAAAGCAUGGGGAGCAAACAGGAUUAGAUACCCUGGUAGUCC